AGAGUUUGAUCAUGGCUCAGAACGAACGCUGGCGGCAGGCCUCAAACAUGCAAGUCUAGGGGGUGUAGCAAUACAUCACCGGCGGACGGGUGCGUAACGCGUGGGAAUAUACCUAUUGGUUCGGAACAACUGAGGGAAACUUCAGCUAAUACCGGAUAAGCCCUUACGGGGAAAGAUUUCUCGCCAAUAGAUUAGCCCGCGUCCGAUUAGCUAGUUGGUGGGGUAAAAGCCUACCAAGGCAACGAUCGGUAGCUGUUCUGAGAGGAAGAUCAGCCACACUGGGACUGAGACACGGCCCAGACUCCUACGGGAGGCAGCAGUUGGGAAUCUUGGACAAUGGGGGAAACCCUGAUCCAGCCAUGCCGCGUGAGUGAUGAAGGCCUUCGGGUUGUAAAACUCUUUCGACGGGGACGAUAAUGACGGUACCCGUAGAAGAAGCUCCGGCUAACUUCGUGCCAGCAGCCGCGGUAAUACGAAGGGGGCUAGCGUUGUUCGGAAUUACUGGGCGUAAAGCGCGCGCAGGCGGUCUUCCAAGUCAGUGGUGAAAGCCCGGAGCUCAACUCCGGAAUUGCCAUUGAAACUGUGAGACUGGAGUACGAGAGAGGUGAGUGGAAUUCCCAGUGUAGAGGUGAAAUUCGUAGAUAUUGGGAAGAACACCGGUGGCGAAGGCGGCUCACUGGCUCGUAACUGACGCUCAGGCGCGACAGCGUGGGGAUCAAACAGGAUUAGAUACCCUGGUAGUCCACGCCGUAAACGAUGAUUGCUAGCCGUUGGGCAGCUUGCUGUUCAGUGGCGCAGCUAACGCAUUAAGCAAUCCGCCUGGGGAGUACGGCCGCAAGGUUGAAACUCAAAGGAAUUGACGGGGGCCCGCACAAGCGGUGGAGCAUGUGGUUUAAUUCGACGCAACGCGCAGAACCUUACCAGGGUUUGACAUCCUGAGACCGCCUCUUAAUAGGGGUUUUCCCGCAAGGGACUCAGAGACAGGUGCUGCAUGGCUGGUCGUCAGCUC
rnacentral:rRNA from 1 species